CCGUUUCUACAGCAACAUCACUGCUUCCUGCUCUAUGCUUGGCCAAAUGAAGAGAAGAGGAAUAGAGAGACAGCAGGCAACGAAGACAAUUUGUUAAGGCCUCCCUGAUGCAUCCUUUGUGACUUAAGUCAGAGCAUGUAUCACUAUACUUAGAAUCUGCACAGAUCUGAACCUCCCUAACACUGAACAAUAUUAAUAUUCUAUCCUUUCUUUUCUUUUAGUGAUUAAUUUUACUCCUUUCAGUUUUUUCUCUGAGCUUAUCGCUUGUCAGACAUAUUCUAUUAUUGAUUAUCCAUUAUCUUUCUCACCAUUGAAUGUCCAGAUGCAUCCAGUUGCAUUAGUUUAGAAAUUGAGAGCGUUGUGGAGCUUACAAUAUUACUUCACUCAGCAGAAAGAGGAUAUUGCUAUGUCGAGCGAUCUGGGCGUUGUCAGUGCUGUUGCGGCUUCUCCAAUAUUUUGGAAUCCCUUGCUGAGGUGGGAGACGAUUGGAGCAUCCAUGGUUGUAUGAGAAAAAAAGAACUUUUUACCAUGCUUGUUCCUGCAAUUUGGUGGACAUACCAUGUGGCUCCAUUUUAGUACAUUCUCCUUUCCAGAAAAGAUAAAUGAUCAAAAUACCUCUAACACAGUAACACUAGCUAAAACUAUAGAAAGGAGCGGCAAACAUAGUUCCGCCAUCUUCCUAGAGGUACACUGCCUACUUGCUGCUUGCAUAUCUGUUUCUGUUACUCAUUGAACAGGUGCAGCACCACGUUGAAGUUAAUUUUCCAAUAGCUCCAUAGAGAUCAUCACUUUUUUUUCUUACAUCUUCCUGGAGGUACACUGCCUACUUGCUGCUUGCAUAUCUGUUUCUGUCACUCAUUGAACAAGUGCAGCACCACGUUGAAGUUAAUUUUCCCAUAGCCCCAUAGAGAUCAUCAGUUUUUUCCCCUUCCCUGGCUGCUAAUUUGAAUGUUUAGCCUGACAGCAUCUUUGGACUUUCCUAUUUACCUGCAAGGUUAAAUAUGGCUGGCUCUUUGAUCACAGAUUUGCUUCUUUCCAUGGAUGUUCAUAAACUUCCUCACACUCCACAGCUUCAUAGUUGUUUAGGUUUCGUUCUCCUUUGUAAGGCACUGUGCAACCUACCGAAAUAAGAAUUGCAUUGUCCC